rnacentral:misc_RNA from 1 species
AGACAAGAUUUGCUAGAACUGAAAGGCAAGCAGCAGGUGUAGCGAUAAGCAAGGACUAAGAGACGACAGGCAAGAAUCGAGAGGCGAGAACCAAUAGGCAACUAGCGACCAAGAGAAUCGAAGGCAAUUGGUUAUGCACGAGGACCGAAGGCGACUAGCGACUAGCGACCGUAAAGACGAAGGCGACUAGCGACCGUAAAGACCAAGGCGACUCGAGUCGUCUCUAGGAAUUUUUGGACUUUUGUAAACAGAAACAUAAUGAAGGUUCAAGAUUCUGUUUUUUUGUUUCUCUGGG